AUCGUACGGUGUGGAGCARGCCCGAGUUGAUCUGAGACACGAUCCAGGCCUACGGGSCAGCAGGCGCGAAACUUACAAUGCGGGCAACCGUGAUAAGGGAACCUCGAGUGCCUGUAUAUGCAGGCUGUCCAGGUGUCUAAAUCACACCYKGAAGAAAGGGCCGGGCAAGACCGGUGCCAGCCGCCGCGGUAAUACCGGCGGCUCGAGUGGUGGCCACUUUUAUUGGGCUUAAAGCGUUCGUAGCUGGGUUGUUAAGUCUCUUGGGAAAUCCGACGGCUCAACCGUCGGGCGUCUAAGAGAUACUGGCAAUCUUGGAACCGGGAGAGGUGAGGGGUACUUCGGGGGUAGGAGUGAAAUCCUGUAAUCCUCGAGGGACCACCUGUGGCGAAGGCGCCUCACCAGAACGGCUUCGACAGUGAGGGACGAAAGCUGGGGGAGCAAACCGGAUUAGAUACCCGGGUAGUCCCAGCCGUAAACGAUGCGCGUUAGGUGUAUCGACGACCACGAGUCGUCGAGGUGCCGAAGGGAAACCGUGAAACGCGCCGCCUGGGAAGUACGGUCGCAAGGCUGAAACUUAAAGGAAUUGGCGGGGGAG
rnacentral:rRNA from 1 species